UACGGAGGGGGCUAGCGUUGUUCGGAAUUACUGGGCGUAAAGCGCCCGUAGGCGGCUUGUUAAGUUAGAGGUGAAAGCCUGGAGCUCAACUCCAGAAUUGCCUUUAAGACUGCCGAGCUAGCAGGUGAGAGAGGUGAGUGGAAUUCCGAGUGUAGAGGUGAAAUUCGUAGAUAUUCGGAAGAACACCAGUGGCGAAGGCGGCUCACUGGCUCAUACUGGACGCUGAGGUGCGAAAGCGUGGGGAGCAAACAGG
rnacentral:rRNA from 1 species